AGAAUCAACGCUGGCGGCGUGCCUAACACAUGCAAGUCGCACGAGAAAGGGGCUUCGGCUCUGAGUAAAGUGGCGCACGGGUGAGUAACACGUGACUAAUCUACCCUCGAGUGGGGAAUAACUGAGAGAAAUCUUAGCUAAUACCGCAUAACACUUACGAGUCAAAGCAGCAAUGCGCUUGGGGAGGAGGUCGCGGCCGAUUAGCUAGUUGGCGGGGUAAUGGCCCACCAAGGCGAUGAUCGGUAUCAGGCCUGAGAGGGCGCACGGACACACUGGAACUGAAACACGGUCCAGACUCCUACGGGAGGCAGCAGUGGGGAAUUUUGCGCAAUGGGGGAAACCCUGACGCAGCAACGCCGCGUGGAGGAUGAAAUAUCUUGGUAUGUAAACUCCUUUCGAUGGGGAAGAUUAUGACGGUACCCAUAGAAGAAGCCCCGGCUAACUUCGCGCCAGCAGCCGC
rnacentral:rRNA from 1 species